rnacentral:rRNA from 1 species
UACGUAGGGUGCAAGCGUUAAUCGGAAUUACUGGGCGUAAAGCGUGCGCAGGCGGUUUGUUAAGCCAGAUGUGAAAGCCCCGGGCUCAACCUGGGAACUGCGUUUGGUACUGGCAAGCUAGAGUACGGCAGAGGGGGGUGGAAUUCCCGGUGUAGCGGUGAAAUGCGUAGAGAUCGGGAGGAACAUCAGUGGCGAAGGCGGCCAUCUGGGACAACACUGACGCUGAAGCACGAAAGCGUGGGGAGCAAACAGG